rnacentral:snRNA from 13 species
GUGCUUGCUUUGGCGGUACAUAUACUAAAAUUGGAAGGAUAUAGAGAAGAUUAGCAUGGCCCCUACACAAAGAUGACACGCAAAUUCAUGAAGCAUUCCAUAUUUUU